UACGGGGGGGGCAAGCGUUGUUCGGAAUUACUGGGCGUAAAGGGCUCGUAGGUGGCCAACUAAGUCAGACGUGAAAUCCCUCAGCUUAACUGGGGAACUGCGUCUGAUACUGGAUGGCUUGAGUUUGGGAGAGGGAUGCGGAAUUCCAGGUGUAGCGGUGAAAUGCGUAGAUAUCGGGAGGAACACCGGUGGCGAAGGCGGCAUUCUGGACCAUAACUGACACUGAGAGACGAAAGCCAGGGGAGCAAACGGG
rnacentral:rRNA from 1 species